rnacentral:rRNA from 1 species
UGAGGAAUAUUGGUCAAUGGACGCAAGUCUGAACCAGCCAUGCCGCGUGCAGGAAGACGGCUCUAUGAGUUGUAAACUGCUUUUGUACGAGGGUAAAAUCGGGUACGUGUACCUGACUGAAAGUAUCGUACGAAUAAGGAUCGGCUAACUCCGUGCCAGCAGCCGCGGUAAUACGGAGGAUCCAAGCGUUAUCCGGAUUUAUUGGGUUUAAAGGGUGCGUAGGCGGUUCGGUAAGUUAGAGGUGAAAUUUCGGGGCUUAACCCCGGCAUUGCCUCUGAUACUGUCGGACUAGAGAGUAGUUGCGGUAGGCGGAAUGUAUGGUGUAGCGGUGAAAUGCUUAGAGAUCAUACAGAACACCGAUUGCGAAGGCAGCUUACCAAACUAUAUCUGACGUUGAGGCACGAAAGCGUGGGGAGCAAACAGGAUUAGAUACC